rnacentral:rRNA from 1 species
AGAACGAACGCUGGCGGCAGGCUUAACACAUGCAAGUCGAACGCGUGUAGCAAUACACGAGUGGCGCACGGGUGAGUAACGCGUGGAUAUCUGCCUUUUGGUUCGGAAUAACCCCGGGAAACUGGGGGCUAAUACCGGAUGGUUCCUACGGGAUAAAGAUUUAUCGCCAAAAGAUGAGUCCGCGUACGAUUAGCUAGUUGGUGAGGUAAUGGCUCACCAAGGCGACGAUCGUUAGCUGGUCUGAGAGGACGAUCAGCCACACUGGGACUGAGACACGGCCCAGACUCCUACGGGAGGCAGCAGUGGGGAAUAUUGGACAAUGGGGGCAACCCUGAUCCAGCCAUGCCGCGUGAGUGAUGAAGGCCUUCUGGUUGUAAAGCUCUUUUGGCGGGACGAUGAUGACGGUACCCGCAGAAUAAGCCCGGCUAACUUCGUGCCAGCAGCCGC